AAGCAGAGCCUGUGAAGUUCGGUGUGCACUUCCCCUUCUUUUCUCUAGGAUUCGUUCCUGUUUCCUGAAGCGCUUGCUGCAGGACUUUCCUGUUGUGAUGUCCGGUGGAUCCCUAAACUAGCAUUUGCAGUUGGGAAGAUGUAAGCAACAUGUUUAACUUCAAGCAAGCCUCAAGUUUCUCAUCAGUAAGACAGGAUCGUGCUGUAUGGCAUGAGGAUUAAAUGAAAUGGUGCACCAGACCUGUAUAUGACACCCUCUGCUUCACCUUCCUGGAUCAUCUGCUAAAAAUAUGUCAGAAAUCAAUUUUGUAUGGUUAACCCUCUCCAGACAAAGGCAAAGACGAAGUUGGAAUAAAACCAUCUCUCGGUGUCACACACAACUGUGAGUGCCCAAAGAGUUUUUGAGACAGGUUGUCGCCAACAAAUCAUCCAAUUAUCCAGAAAUUUGGAGAAAAGGGAGUAGCUGGUGACAUGCUUUUGCAUGCCGGCCUCCUAGAAGGUGGUUUGAAUUAGUGGGCCUUCUCCUAUCUUCUCCUGGACUGUUUUUCCUGUGUAUCGAACACUGCUCAGAUCCAGCCCCUCCCCCGCUCCCACUUCUUGCUUUGGUCUCCUCAGCAGCUCCACAUAGGAGCACUAAGCAGGGGCUUUAGUCGUCAGCUCCGUUCAUGACUAUCUCUGAUGCUACACCACAAGCAGCUACAGAAAAUUAGCCUGACUCAUAUAUCUUCUUGCCCUGGAGUCAGGAUUAAAAUGCUCAUUAGUCUGCCUGACAGAUAUUUAUUGAGACUCUAGUGUGUGCCAACACUGUUAAAUACAAACAUCCCACAGAAACAGAGGAUUUGUCUCUGAAAGGAAUUUUGAGCAAAUGAAAAGAGACUCGGGAAGAGAAACAUCAUACAGAAAGCUCCAGUGCCUGGGUACAGACACUCUGGUGACAGAUCUUAUUUCACUAUGUCAAGGAUACUUCUUUCAGUUAAAAAUAACAUGGGUUUGGAUUGGCAGGAUUAAUAUAGUAAAAAUGGCCAUUUUACCAAAAGCAAUCUACAGAUUCAAUGCAAUCCCCAUCAAAAUACCAAUCCAAUUCUUCAAAGAGUUAGACAGAACAAUUUGCAAAUUCAUCUGGAAUAACAAAAAACCCAGGAUAGCUAAAGCUAUCCUCCACAAUAAGAGGACUUCAGGGGGAAUCACUAUCCCUGAACUCAAGCAGUAUUACAGAGCAAUAGUGAUAAAAACUGCAUGGUAUUGGUACAGAGACAGACAGAUAGACCAAUGGAAUAGAAUUGAAGACCCAGAAAUGAACCCACACACCUAUGGUCACUUGAUUUUUGACAAAGGAGCCAAAACCAUCCAAUGGAAAAAAGAUAGCAUUUUCAGCAAAUGGUGCUGGUUCAACUGGAGGGCAACAUGUAGAAGAAUGCAGAUCGAUCCAUGCUUAUC